rnacentral:rRNA from 3 species
UACGUAGGUGGCAAGCGUUGUCCGGAUUUACUGGGUGUAAAGGGCGUGUAGCCGGGGAGACAAGUCAGAUGUGAAAUCUGGAGGCUCAACCUCCAAACUGCAUUUGAAACUGUUUCUCUUGAGUAUCGGAGAGGUAAUCGGAAUUCCUAGUGUAGCGGUGAAAUGCGUAGAUAUUAGGAAGAACACCAGUGGCGAAGGCGGAUUACUGGACGACAACUGACGGUGAGGCGCGAAAGCGUGGGGAGCAAACAGG